UUUCUUUUAGUGUUUAGCACAGGAAAAUUUGAGUUUCCUAGAAAAUAUUAUUAUUUAAAGAAAGC
rnacentral:tRNA from 1 species